rnacentral:tRNA from 1 species
GUUUUAAUAGUUUAAUAAAGAACUUUGGUCUUGUAAACCAAGAGUGAAUUAUAACAAUUCUUAAAGCA